UCAAAAGCUUUGCUCAAGUCAAAGUAGACGAUAUCCACAACUCUCAUCUUGUCCAUCCAAGUGGUUGUUUCAUUGUAGAAGGCAAUCAGAUUGGUCAAGAUUGAUUUAUGUUGGUGAAUCCAUGCUGACUGCUUCUGAUAACCGUUUUGCCGUCCAUAUGGAUGUUGACAGCCUUCACAGUGAAGCAUUCCAUCCUUUCUGAAGAUUUAGGAGAGGCUGUCUAACUGGUAGUCCCUUGGGUCCUUCCUGUCCUUGAAGAUUGGAGUGAUGUUUACUUAAUUUCAGACUUCAGGAACCUUUCUGUAUCAUUGCAACCUUUCAUAAAGGAUCUCUGAGAUGAGCAGCAUCUCAGCACUUCUGGAUGCAUCCAUUAGGGGCCACGGAUUUUUAGGUGUCCAGUUUGCCUUGAUGUUCUCUCAAGGUGACCCCAGCUCCCCCUGACAAAGGGAAAGUGUCCCUUCCAAAAUUUCUUUACCCUGGUCUCCUGAGUCAAGGAUUUCUGAGGGCUGAUCCUGUCAGUGAAGACCUAUCCAAAGUAGGUGUUCAGUAACUGCCUUCUCUGUGUCCUGUUAACAGGAUCCCCUCUGUAUUUAGUAGCAGAUCCACAUCAAUACCAUCAUGCUAACCACUAUAAAAAUACAGAAACUUACAUGAUUAAAACUGACCUCCUUAUAAUAAUUUGGCCAGAUUAAAGCUAAGUAAGUGAUAGGAUUUUUCUGUGGAAGCCCUAUGAGCCACUGCAUGUACACAGGCUCUUACUGCUCCUAGAAGUGAAGGCUACUAUUGGCUGCACACCAUGAUUUUACUCCAUAAACAUUCCUGUAUAUUGACAGUGGUUUUGUAUCAGUCUUCUCAGAUAUAGUAGGACUGCUGGUUGUUUUAGGUUUUCUUGGAGGUGGGAUUCUCUGGUCUCUCAUCAUUGUUCCUAUUUCUUGUAGACAUACAGCACUGUGCUUUGCAGGCCAAGGAAGAGAGGCCUCUCCACAGUCUGCUGCAGUGCUGCUACCUCAGGAACUGAAAUCUUAACCUUUACAAGUGGAACUGUAAUUUCCAGUCUUUCUAAGAAGCAUCCAUUCCUUUCAGCUCUGCAACUCCUGGUUCACAUCAGUCCUGUUAAAGGUCAGAGCAAUAGUUUGCCAAGUUUGUAACUUGAAUGUACAGUAUAGAACGUUUAAAACCCUCACUCCUGACUAUCAAAACAAAGGCAGUAAAAAGAAAACUCAAACAUUUUUGAAUGAAACGUAGCCAAUUAAUUGAAAAAAUAAUGUUCUGCUUCUAGACACUUGCUGAGCUGAAGAAGCUGAAUUAUAAGAGAAAUAAUUUAAAAAGAAUUAUCUAUGACAUUUACAGGAUCAAU
rnacentral:lncRNA from 1 species